rnacentral:rRNA from 1 species
UAAGACGGAGGGCGCAAACGUUGUUCGGAAUCACUGGGCGUAAAGGGCGCGUAGGCGGGUCGGUAAGUCAGACGUGAAAUCCCGGGGCUCAACUCCGGGCCUGCGUUUGAAACUGCCAGCCUAGAGUGCAGGAGAGGAAGGCGGAAUUCCAGGUGUAGCGGUGGAAUGCGUAGAUAUCUGGAAGAACACCAGUGGCGAAGGCGGCCUUCUGGACUGACACUGACGCUGAGGCGCGAAAGCUAGGGGAGCAAACAGGAUUAGAUACCCUGGUAGUCCUAGCCGUAAACGAUGGGUACUAGGUGCUGGGCGUUUCGACACGUUCAGCGCCGCAGCUAACGCAUUAAGUACCCCGCCUGGGGAGUACGGCCGCAAGGCUG